rnacentral:rRNA from 1 species
UGGGGGAUAUUGCACAAUGGGGGAAACCCUGAUGCAGCGACGCCGCGUGGAGGAAGAAGGUUUUCGGAUUGUAAACUCCUGUCGUUAGGGACGAUAAUGACGGUACCUAACAAGAAAGCACCGGCUAACUACGUGCCAGCAGCCGCGGUAAAACGUAGGGUGCAAGCGUUGUCCGGAAUUACUGGGUGUAAAGGGAGCGCAGGCGGGAAGACAAGUUGGAAGUGAAAACCAUGGGCUCAACCCAUGAAUUGCUUUCAAAACUGUUUUUCUUGAGUAGUGCAGAGGUAGAUGGAAUUCCCGGUGUAGCGGUGGAAUGCGUAGAUAUCGGGAGGAACACCAGUGGCGAAGGCGGUCUACUGGGCACCAACUGACGCUGAGGCUCGAAAGCAUGGGUAGCAAACAGGAUUAGAUACCCUGGUAGUCCAUGCCGUAAACGAUGAUUACUAGGUGUUGGGGGAUUGACCCCCUCAGUGCCGCAGUUAACACAAUAAGUAAUCCACCUGGGGAGUACGACCGCAAGGUUGAAACUCAAAGGAAUUGACGGGGGCCCGUACAAGCAGUGGAGUAUGUGGUUUAAUUCGAAGCAACGCGAAGAACCUUACCAGGUCUUGACAUCCGAUGCAUAGCACAGAGAUGUGUGAAAUCCUUCGGGACAUCGAGACAGGUGGUGCAUGGUUGUCGUCAGCUCGUGUCGUGAGAUGUUGGGUUAAGUCCCGCAACGAGCGCAACCCUUAUUGCCAGUUACUACGUUAAGAGGACUCUGGCGAGACUGCCGUUGACAAAACGGAGGAAGGUGGGGAUGACGUCAAAUCAUCAUGCCCUUUAUGACCUGGGCUACACACGUACUACAAUGGCGUUAAACAAAGAGAAGCAAGACCGCGAGGUGGAGCAAAACUCAAAAACAACGUCUCAGUUCAGAUUGCAGGCUGCAACUCGCCUGCAUGAAGUCGGAAUUGCUAGUAAUCGCGGAUCAGCAUGCCGCGGUGAAUACGUUCCC